rnacentral:lncRNA from 1 species
AAUAUGUUACAAGCUUUAUUCUUGUUUCUUUGAAUGUAAAUUUUGUUGGAAAAUUUGCCAUCUCAAAUGUUGUAUAUGUAGUUCAUAUGAGCAUGAAUAUUGGAGCUAAAAUUUGGUGCCAUGUUUUUGGGAUUUUUCGGCCAAAUCCAAAGGGUGGAUUUUUGGGUUCUUGUUUGACUUGUUAAAAGUGUUUUCAAGUAACUUUU